CCCUUAGAUGUUCUGGGCCGCACGCGCGCUACACUGAUGCAUUCAACGAGUUUCUUCCUGGUCCGAGAGGAAUGGGUAACCUUUUGAAAGUGCAUCGUGAUAGGGAUAGACUAUUGCAAUUAUUGGUCUUCAACGAGGAAUUCCUAGUAGACGUAGUUCAUCAGACUGCAUCGAUUACGUCCCUGCCCUUUGUACACACCGCCCGUCGCUCCUACCGAUUGAAUGCUCAGGUGAGUUAUUCGGACCGAGAGCUAGUUUGGUUCGCCAGUCUAGUUUUUGGAAAGUCGAGUGAACCUUAAUGCUUAGAGGAAGGAGAAGUCGUAACA
rnacentral:rRNA from 1 species